CCUACGGGUGGCAGCAGUGGGGAAUAUUGCGCAAUGGGCGAAAGCCUGACGCAGCGACGCCGCGUGAGGGAUGAAGGUCUUCGGAUCGUAAACCUCUGUCAGCAGGGAAGAACGGUCACUGUGCUAAUCAGCAGUGAAUUGACGGUACCUGCAAAGGAAGCACCGGCUAACUCCGUGCCAGCAGCCGCGGUAAUACGGAGGGUGCGAGCGUUAAUCGGAAUUACUGGGCGUAAAGCGCUCGUAGGCGGUAUGUCAAGUCAAGGGUGAAAUCCCCGCGCUCAACGUGGGAACUUCCUUUGAAACUGGCAAACUGGAGUGUGUGAGAGGAUAGUGGAAUUCCAGGUGUAGGAGUGAAAGCCGUAGAUAUCUGGAGGAACAUCAGUGGAGAAGGCGACUAUCUGGCACAUAACUGACGCUGAGGAGCGAAAGCGUGGGUAGCAAACAGGAUUAGAUACCCCAGUAGUC
rnacentral:rRNA from 1 species